CCUACGGGUGGCUGCAGUGGGGAAUAUUGGACAAUGGGGGGAACCCUGAUCCAGCCAUGCCGCGUGCGUGAAGAAGGCCCUCGGGUUGUAAAGCACUUUCAGUGAGGAAGAACGCCUGGUGGUUAAUACCCAUCAGGAAAGACAUCACUCACAGAAGAAGCACCGGCUAACUCCGUGCCAGCAGCCGCGGUAAUACGGAGGGUGCGAGCGGUAAUCGGAAUUACUGGGCGUAAAGCGCGCGUAGGUGGCUUGAUAAGCCGGUUGUGAAAGCCCCGGGCUCAACCUGGGAACGGCAUCCGGAACUGUCAAGCUAGAGUGCAGGAGAGGAAGGUAGAAUUCCCGGUGUAGCGGUGAAAUGCGUAGAGAUCGGGAGGAAUACCAGUGGCGAAGGCGGCCUUCUGGACUGACACUGACACUGAGGUGCGAAAGCGUGGGUAGCAAACAGGAUUAGAUACCCGGGUAGUC
rnacentral:rRNA from 1 species